UGUUAGCGGCGGACGGGUGAGUAACACGUGGGUAACCUACCUAUAAGACUGGGAUAACUUCGGGAAACCGGAGCUAAUACCGGAUAAUAUUUCGAACCGCAUGGUUCGAUAGUGAAAGAUGGUUUUGCUAUCACUUAUAGAUGGACCCGCGCCGUAUUAGCUAGUUGGUAAGGUAACGGCUUACCAAGGCGACGAUACGUAGCCGACCUGAGAGGGUGAUCGGCCACACUGGAACUGAGACACGGUCCAGACUCCUACGGGAGGCAGCAGGC
rnacentral:rRNA from 1 species